CAACCUAAAUAAGAAUUCAAAAAUAAUAAAAUGGAGUCAGAUUGAGUUAAACCUAAAUUGAAUAACCCUGCACGCUGAAAAGACCGAACACUCAAGAGACCUUCAUCCGCCACUGGAUACCUU